UUUUUUUUUUUUAGGUCACUAGUUUGGUUCAAAUGAAGACCCAGGCUGAGUCUGAUAACACUGGUUAAUAAACUAAUGAAUAUAUGUCUACACAUUUCUUUAUUUCUUACCUUUUACAAAUUUACCAGAGUUUAAUGACUUUCUAUUUUGAACGAUGAAAGCAUGUUUCUCAGGAACAGCUUAAUUUUCCAUUUGAACAGGAAAAUAUUUUUCGUUAACUAAUUUUCAUCAACGCCCCAAAUGUCAAAAAAUGUGAAAAAUGUUUUCUGAAAAAUAUUUUCUGUGAAACAAACAAAAGCAUAGAAUCAAAGAAAAAAAUUGGCAAAUUAGAUAUGUAAGUUAUAAAUGAUUUAUCCUUGACUUAACUAUGAAGAAUAUAUACCCAAACUACUAACAAGAAACAAAGCAUACCAUGAUACCAAUUUAAUUUUAGAAGACCAACCAAUUUAAUGAAUAUCAUAAUGUGAUGAUGAUGCAAUUUAUACCCUGGUUGCAUACAUUGAGCACACAAGCAUGAUGACCAAUGCCUUGAGAAAUAAAAAUUCUUGGCACCUUAAGGGCACCAUUCACUUUAAACAACUAUGGUUCUCCCAUUUUUUUCACUGAAUCUCAGCUACCAUCUCUUUGUUUUUCUUGUCUUACGUACAGUGAAAAAAA
rnacentral:misc_RNA from 1 species